rnacentral:rRNA from 1 species
CCUACGGGCGGCAGCAGUGGGGAAUAUUGGACAAUGGGCGCAAGCCUGACCCAGCAACGCCGCGUGAAGGAAGAAGGCUUUCGGGUUGUAAACUUCUUUUGUCAGGGAAGAGUAGAAGACGGUACCUGACGAAUAAGCCACGGCUAACUACGUGCCAGGAGCCGCGGUAAUACGUAGGUGGCAAGCGGUGUCCGGAUUUACUGGGUGUAAAGGGCGUGUAGCCGGGUUGACAAGUCAGAUGUGAAAUCCUGCGGCUUAACCGCAGAACUGCAUUUGAAACUGUUGAUCUUGAGUACUGGAGAGGCAGACGGAAUUCCUAGUGUAGCGGUGAAAUGCGUAGAUAUUAGGAGGAACACCAGUGGCGAAGGCGGUCUGCUGGACAGCAACUGACGGUGAGGCGCGAAAGCGUGGGGAGCAAACAGGAUUAGAUACCCCAGUAGUC